rnacentral:rRNA from 1 species
AGUGAACGCUGGCGGUAGGCCUAACACAUGCAAGUCGAACGGCAGCACAGUAAGAGCUUGCUCUUACGGGUGGCGAGUGGCGGACGGGUGAGGAAUACAUCGGAAUCUACUUUUUCGUGGGGGAUAACGUAGGGAAACUUACGCUAAUACCGCAUACGACCUACGGGUGAAAGCGGGGGAUCUUCGGACCUUGCGCGAUUGAAUGAGCCGAUGUCGGAUUAGCUAGUUGGCGGGAUAAAGGCCCACCAAGGCGACGAUCCGUAGCUGGUCUGAGAGGAUGAUCAGCCACACUGGAACUGAGACACGGUCCAGACUCCUACGGGAGGCAGCAGUGGGGAAUAUUGGACAAUGGGCGCAAGCCUGAUCCAGCCAUACCGCGUGGGUGAAGAAGGCCUUCGGGUUGUAAAGCCCUUUUGUUGGGAAAGAAAAGCAGCAGGUUAAUACCCCGCUGUUCUGACGGUACCCAAAGAAUAAGCACCGGCUAACUUCGUG